GCAUCGACGCUAAUUUCAGGGACAAACCCGCUGGCGACUUGCCUUCCGCUUACAUGUCUCCCAGUUGACGCGCUUAGUUUUAUAUUUAGGUUGCAGCAGCCAUGGCUAUUGAUGCUCUUUCAUCUCCCCAUAGGAGGUCUCAAACCCCAAUUUCCUUUUCACCUUCGCCGUCGAGAAAACAUCGUGACGAUCUUGGAAGCUGGUCUACUCUGCUUAACCGCCAUCGUUUUCUCUUGAUCAUGCUGGCCUUAUUGGCAUUUCUCUGCACCAUUUAUCUUUAUUUUGCAGUUACUUUAGGAACACCAGUUUCAUGCUCUGGAUUGAAAGGCACAGAGAAGGCUUUAUGUGAGGCUAACUUAAUCUCCCAUAAGGGGAAGUUGAAACUCCUAUAAUUGUUUUGCCGAUAAUUUACUCUAAGGAGACCUUCAUAUGUUAUGGUAUCGUCCAAAUGGAGGAUGUGCUGAUGUAUCAUUGUUUCCCACUUUAUUAUACAAAUAGCCCAUUUUAUUUA